rnacentral:rRNA from 1 species
GAUGAACGCUGGCGGCGUGCCUAAUACAUGCAAGUCGAGCGAACGGACGAGAAGCUUGCUUCUCUGAUGUUAGCGGCGGACGGGUGAGUAACACGUGGAUAACCUACCUAUAAGACUGGGAUAACUUCGGGAAACCGGAUCUAAUACCGGAUGAUAUUUUUAACCGCAUUGUUCAUAAGUGAAAGACGGUCUUGCUGUCACUUAUAGAUUGAUCCUCGCUGCAUUAGCUAGUUGGUAAGGUAACGGCUUACCAAGGCAACGAUGCAUAUCCGACCUGAGAGGGUGAUCGGCAACACUGGAACUGAGACACGGUCCAGACUCCUACGGGAGGCAGCAGUAGGGAAUCUUCCGCAAUGGGCGAAAGCAUGACGGAGCAACGCCGCGUGAGUGAUGAAGGUCUUCGGAUCGUAAAACUCUGUUAUUAGGGAAGAACAUAUGUGUAAGUAAAUGUGCACAGCUUGACGGUAACUAAUCAGAAAGCCACGGCUAACUACGUG